rnacentral:lncRNA from 1 species
AAGGGGCAGAGGGAGAGGAUGGUAUUACUGAGGCCCGGUGGAGAUUACAGCCAUGGAGGAGGAGCUGGGCCCCUGGAAGAAUGCAGCCACUGCCAGGCCAAGCCUCUGAAUCAAGAGGGCGCAGACAAAAAAUAUCCUCUAUCACCACCCUCCUCACCCCUCAGUCUCCAACUGGUGCCUCCCACUGGUUAAUGCCGAUUGGAAGCCAGCAAUCAGGGGAGCAUGAGCAAAGAACGGUAGGGAAGGGACCAGGUGUGUGGGGUCAGGGGCAAGCAAGAUACCAACACAGCCACACUGGAACACAGCCUGUGUAAAAGCAGGGGCAUGGGUAACUCGGAGGAAUGACAGAAAAACCAUAGCACAGAAGUCAGGACUCUUGGAUCCCUGCCCCAACGCACACUGAGCGUCCUGGGAGGCAUGCUGCUGGCAUCUUAGGCCUCGACUGCUUUGGCUGCAAAAUGAGUAGGCUGGACCAUUCAGUUGAGUGAACUUUGUGGCCUUCCACAGAGAGUUCUCUGACCCUGCUGUAAGUCAGCUGGCCCUCCCACCAAGCACAGACUUGGCUCGG